rnacentral:tRNA from 1 species
GUCUCAGUGGCGUAGUGGUUAGCGCACGAGCCCCGGUUGGGCGCGAGACGCGCGGGUUCGAAUCCCGCCUGAGACG